rnacentral:rRNA from 1 species
AAGGCAUGCGGGUGCUAAUACAUGCAAGUCGAGCGAAUGGAUUGAGAGCUUGCUCUCAAGAAGUUAGCGGCGGACGGGUGAGUAACACGUGGGUAACCUGCCCAUAAGACUGGGAUAACUCCGGGAAACCGGGGCUAAUACCGGAUAACAUUUUGAACUGCAUGGUUCGAAAUUGAAAGGCGGCUUCGGCUGUCACUUAUGGAUGGACCCGCGUCGCAUUAGCUAGUUGGUGAGGUAACGGCUCACCAAGGCAACGAUGCGUAGCCGACCUGAGAGGGUGAUCGGCCACACUGGGACUGAGACACGGCCCAGACUCCUACGGGAGGCAGCAGUAGGGAAUCUUCCGCAAUGGACGAAAGUCUGACGGAGCAACGCCGCGUGAGUGAUGAAGGCUUUCGGGUCGUAAAACUCUGUUGUUAGGGAAGAACAAGUGCUAGUUGAAUAAGCUGGCACCUUGACGGUACCUAACCAGAAAGCCACGGCUAACUACGUGCCAGCAGCCGCGGUAAU